AGUGAGACUGAGUCCCACUCUACUCUGUACUUUAAUUGAUAUAAAUACUAACAUUUUUACUAAGUGCUCCAGGUGAUGAUCAUGCAUAUUAAAGUUGGAGAGCACUUUAAUUUAUGUUUUUACCAUCUAUUCCAGGAAGUCUGCCCAGAUUUCUCCCUUGCUCCUUACCUAAGUCUAAGGUUCUGAGGGUCAGGGUCAGAUUCCCAUUGGGUUCUGCUGGGUGUGCUCUCCCACCGGACUGGGGAGGCCCCAGGGACAGAUAUCUUGCCCUUUCUUUACUCUCCUCACCCUAAGCCCAGAUGUUCCUGGUACUACUGAGUGUAGAUUCUCCUAGGAUGCUGUAGGAAAUGCAACAUAAUCUUUUUUUUUUGGCCAGGUGCAGUGGCUCAUGCCUGUUAUCCCAGCACUUUGGGAGGCCGAGGCGGGUGGAUCACUUGAGGUCAGGAAUUCAAGACCAGCCUGGCCAACAUGAUGGUAUAGAAAUUGUAUUACUGUGUCACAUCACCCUUUGCCUUUCCAAUCCCAUCUUACCCAGGAUGUGCUAGGUGUGGGCCGGCCCCCACCCGACCCUGACAAGUGACCAUGGAUCCUGGAGCCGGGUCAGAGACAUCUCUGACUGUCAAUGAGCAGGUCAUCGUGAUGUCAGGUCAUGAGACCAUCCGAGUGCUGGAAGUCGGA
rnacentral:lncRNA from 10 species